rnacentral:rRNA from 1 species
UACGUAGGUGACAAGCGUUGUCCGGAUUUACUGGGCGUAAAGAGCGCGCAGGCGGUCGUACAAGUCGCGUGUGAAAGCCCCCGGCUCAACUGGGGAGGGUCACGCGAUACUGUUCGACUCGAAGGCAGGAGAGGGAAGCAGAAUUCCCGGUGUAGUGGUGAAAUGCGUAGAUAUCGGGAGGAAUACCAGUGGCGAAGGCGGCUUCCUGGCCUGUUCUUGACGCUGAGGCGCGAAAGCGUGGGGAGCAAACAGG